rnacentral:rRNA from 1 species
GAUAAACGCUGGCGGCGUGCCUAACACAUGCAAGUCGAACGGAGAUUACGGACGGAAGUUUUCGGAUGGAAGACUGUAAUUCUUAGUGGCGGACGGGUGAGUAACGCGUGGGCAACCUGCCCUAUACAGGGGGAUAGCAGCUGGAAACGGCUGGUAAGACCGCAUAAGUCGGCGAGACCGCAUGGUUUUGCCGGGAAAUGAGCAAUCAGGUAUAGGAUGGGCCCGCGUCCGAUUAGCCAGUUGGCAGGGUAAAAGCCUACCAAAGCAACGAUCGGUAGCCGGACUGAGAGGUCGGACGGCCACAUUGGGACUGAGACACGGCCCAAACUCCUACGGGAGGCAGCAGUGGGGGAUAUUGCACAAUGGAGGAAACUCUGAUGCAGCGACGCCGCGUGAGUGAAGAAGUAUUUCGGUAUGUAAAGCUCUAUCAGCAGGGAAGAUGAUGACGGUACCUGACUAAGAAGCCCCGGCUAACUACGUG